rnacentral:rRNA from 1 species
CUAUACAUGCAGUCGAGCGAAUCAAUAGGAGCUUGCUCCUUGAGAUUAGCGGCGGMCGGGUGAGUAACACGUGGGCAACCUGCCCUGCAGAUGGGGAUAACUCCGGGAAACCGGGGCUAAUACCGAAUAAUCAGUUCCUUCGCAUGAAGGAACUCUGAAAGACGGUUUCGGCUGUCACUGCAGGAUGGGCCCGCGGCGCAUUAGCUAGUUGGUGGGGUAAUGGCCUACCAAGGCAACGAUGCGUAGCCGACCUGAGAGGGUGAUCGGCCACACUGGGACUGAGACACGGCCCAGACUCCUACGGGAGGCAGCAGUAGGGAAUCUUCCACAAUGGACGAAAGUCUGAUGGAGCAAUGCCGCGUGAGUGAAGAAGGUUUUCGGAUCGUAAAGCUCUGUUGCGAGGGAAGAACACGUACGGGAGUAACUGCCCGUACCUUGACGGUACCUCGUCAGAAAGCCACGGCUAACUACGUGCCAGCAGCCGCGGUAAUACGUAGGUGGCAAGCGUUGUCCGGAAUUAUUGGGCGUAAAGCGCGCGCAGGCGGUCCUUUAAGUCUGAUGUGAAAGCCCACGGCUCAACCGUGGAGGGUCAUUGGAAAACUGGGGGACUUGAGUACAGAAGAGGAAAGCGGAAUUCCACGUGUAGCGGUGAAAUGCGUAGAGAUGUGGAGGAAC